UACAGAGGUCUCAAGCGUUGUUCGGAUUCAUUGGGCGUAAAGGGUGUGUAGGUGGCGCCGUAAGUCGGGUGUGAAAUCUCGGGGCUUAACUCCGAAACUGCAUUCGAUACUGCGGUGCUUGAGGACUGGAGAGGAGACUGGAAUUCCUGGUGUAGCGGUGAAAUGUGUAGAGAGUCGGGAGGAACACCGGUGGCGAAGGCGGGUCUCUGGGCAAUUCCUGACGCUGAGGCGCGAAAGCGUGGGGAGCAAACAGGG
rnacentral:rRNA from 1 species